AUUGAACGCUGGCGGCAUGCCUUACACAUGCAAGUCGAACGGAUGAACGGAUGUUUGCCCCUGAUGGAGCGUGGCACACGGGUGAGAAGUCCAUGAGACCAUCUGCUGGUGGGGGGGAAAGUCCGGCAACGGCCGGUAAAAUCGCGCACACCCUCUGCGAGAAAAAGGGGGGGACCUUCAGGCCUCGCGAUAUGAGGAUCCUCGAUCGGAUUAGCUAGUUGGUGGGGGAAAGGCCUACCAAGGCGACGAUCAGUAGCUGGUCUGAGAGGACGACCAGCCACACUGGGACUGAGACACGGCCCAGACUCCUACGGGAGGCAGCAGUGGGGAAUUUUGGACAAUGGGCGAAAGCCUGAUCCAGCAAUGCCGCGUGUGUGAAGAAGGCCUUCGGAUUGUAAAGCACUUUUGGCCGGAAAGAAAUCCUUUGCCCUAAUACGGUCGGGGUAUGACGGUACCGGAAGAAUAAGCACCGGCUAACUACGUG
rnacentral:rRNA from 1 species